AGUGAACGCUGGCGGUAGGCCUAACACAUGCAAGUCGAACGGCAGCACAGUAGGAGCUUGCUCUUACGGGUGGCGAGUGGCGGACGGGUGAGGAAUACAUCGGAAUCUACUUUUUCGUGGGGGAUAACGUAGGGAAACUUACGCUAAUACCGCAUACGACCUACGGGUGAAAGCAGGGGAUCUUCGGACCUUGCGCGAUUGAAUGAGCCGAUGUCGGAUUAGCUAGUUGGCGGGGUAAAGGCCCACCAAGGCGACGAUCCGUAGCUGGUCUGAGAGGAUGAUCAGCCACACUGGAACUGAGACACGGUCCAGACUCCUACGGGAGGCAGCAGUGGGGAAUAUUGGACAAUGGGGGCAAGCCUGAUCCAGCCAUACCGCGUGGGUGAAGAAGGCCUUCGGGUUGUAAAGCCCUUUUGUUGGGAAAGAAAAGCAGCAGGUUAAUACCCCGCUGUUCUGACGGUACCCAAAGAAUAAGCACCGGCUAACUUCGUG
rnacentral:rRNA from 1 species